rnacentral:rRNA from 1 species
AUUGAACGCUGGCGGCAGGCCUCACACAUGCAAGUCGAACGAGUGGCGGACGGGUGAGUAAUGUCUGGGAAACUGCCCGAUGGAGGGGGAUAACUACUGGAAACGGUAGCUAAUACCGCAUACCAUCGGAUGUGCCCAGAUGGGAGUAGCGAGUAGGUGGGGUGACGGCUCACCUAGGCGACGAGCCCUAGCUUGUCUGAGAGGAUGACCAGCCACAAUGGAACUGAGACACGGUCCAGACUCCUACGGGCGGCAGCAGUGGGGAAGAUUGCACAAUGGGCGCAAGCCUGAUGCAGCCAUGCCGCGUGUAUGAAGAGGGCCUUCGGGUUGUAAAGUACUUUCAGCGAGGAGGCGUUACUCGCAGAAGAAGCACCGGCUAACGCCGUGCCAGCAGCCGCGGUAAUUC